rnacentral:rRNA from 1 species
UACGUAGGGGGCGAGUGUUGUCCGGAUUUAUUGGGCGUAAAGAGCUCGUAGGCGGCUUGGCAAGUCGGGUGUGAAACCUCCAGGCUCAACCUGGAGACGCCACUCGAUACUGCUAUGGCUAGAGUCCGGUAGGGGACCACGGAAUUCCUGGUGUAGCGGUGAAAUGCGCAGAUAUCAGGAGGAACACCGGUGGCGAAGGCGGUGGUCUGGGCCGGCACUGACGCUGAGGAGCGAAAGCGUGGGUAGCAAACAGG